UACGGAGGGUGCAAGCGUUGUCCGGAUUUAUUGGGUUUAAAGGGUGCGUAGGCGGUUCUUUAAGUCUGGGGUGAAAGCCCGUUGCUCAACAACGGAACUGCCCUGGAAACUGGCGAACUUGAGUACAGACGAGGGUGGCGGAAUGGAUGGUGUAGCGGUGAAAUGCAUAGAUAUCAGGAGGAACACCGGUGGUGUAGACGGCUCUCUGGACCGUAACUGACGCUGAGACACGAAAGCGUGGGUAGCAAACAGG
rnacentral:rRNA from 1 species